rnacentral:rRNA from 1 species
UUAAUCGGGGCAGGGUAAGUCGACCCCUAAGGCGAGGCCGAAAGGCGUAGUCGAUGGGAAACGGGUUAAUAUUCCCGUACUUCUUACAAUUGCGAUGGGGGGGACGGAGAAGGCUAGGUGGGCCUGGCGACGGUUGUCCAGGUUCAAGUGCGUAGGCUUAAGAGUUAGGUAAAUCCGGCUCUUUUUAAGGCUGAGACACGACGUCGAGCA